GACGAACGCUGGCGGCGUGCUUAACACAUGCAAGUCGAACGGAAAGGCCCUGCUUUCGUGGGGUGCUCGAGUGGCGAACGGGUGAGUAACACGUGAGUAACCUGCCCUUGACUUUGGGAUAACUUCAGGAAACUGGGGCUAAUACCGGAUAGGAGCUCCUGCUGCAUGGUGGGGGUUGGAAAGUUUCGGCGGUUGGGGAUGGACUCGCGGCUUAUCAGCUUGUUGGUGGGGUAGUGGCUUACCAAGGCUUUGACGGGUAGCCGGCCUGAGAGGGUGACCGGCCACAUUGGGACUGAGAUACGGCCCAGACUCGUACGGGGGGCAGCAGUGGGGAAUAUUGCACAAUGGGCGGAAGCCUGAUGCAGCAACGCCGCGUGCGGGAUGACGGCCUUCGGGUUGUAAACCGCUUUCGCCUGUGACGAAGCGUGAGUGACGGUAAUGGGUAAAGAAGCACCGGCUAACUACGUG
rnacentral:rRNA from 1 species